UACGUAGGGUGCAAGCGUUGUCCGGAAUUAUUGGGCGUAAAGAGCUCGUAGGCGGUUUGUCGCGUCUGCUGUGAAAUCCCGGGGCUCAACCCCCGGGACUGCAUUCGAUACUGCCGGGCUAGAGGCAGGUAGGGGAGAUCGGAAUUCCCGGUGUAGCGGUGAAAUGCGCAGAUAUCAGGAGGAACACCGGUGGCGAAGGCGGGUCUCUGGGCCGAUACUGACGCUGAGGAGCGAAAGCGUGGGGGAGCGAACAGG
rnacentral:rRNA from 1 species